GAGCCCCGGUGUAACUGGCGACAGGUGGAGCGAACCACAUGGAAGCACCGGGGAAUACGGCCGGUCGCCUGGGCAAAGAGC
rfam:Paenibacillus larvae subsp. larvae DSM 25430, complete genome.